UUUUACUCCUACGGGAGGCAGCAGUGGGGAAUAUUGCACAAUGGGCGAAAGCCUGAUGCAGCGACGCCGCGUGAGGGAUGACGGCCUUCGGGUUGUAAACCUCUUUCAGUAGGGAAGAAGCCCUCUUUGGGGGUGACGGUACUUGCAGAAGAAGCGCCGGCUAACUACGUGCCAGCAGCCGCGGUAAUACGUAGGGCGCAAGCGUUAUCCGGAAUUAUUGGGCGUAAAGAGCUCGUAGGCGGUUUGUCGCGUCUGCUGUGAAAGACCGGGGCUCAACUCCGGUUCUGCAGUGGGUACGGGCAGACUAGAGUGCAGUAGGGGAGACUGGAAUUCCUGGUGUAGCGGUGAAAUGCGCAGAUAUCAGGAGGAACACCGAUGGCGAAGGCAGGUCUCUGGGCUGUAACUGACGCUGAGGAGCGAAAGCAUGGGGAGCGAACAGGAUUAGAUACCCUGGUAGUCCAUGCCGUAAACGUUGGGCACUAGGUGUGGGGGACAUUCCACGUUUUCCGCGCCGUAGCUAACGCAUUAAGUGCCCCGCCUGGGGAGUACGGCCGCAAGGCUAAAACUCAAAGGAAUUGACGGGGGCCCGCACAAGCGGCGGAGCAUGCGGAUUAAUUCGAUGCAACGCGAAGAACCUUACCAAGGCUUGACAUGGACCGGAAAGACCCUGAAACCAGGGCCCC
rnacentral:rRNA from 1 species